AAAAAAACCCGUCCGACGCAGCGGACGGUCUCUGUAGGACUCACUUUAUCUUUCAGCACUCCUACACAGACCGUCCGCUGCGUCAAAGUAAAACAUAUAAGCGCUUUCAUUUUCAUCUUCAGAUGUUUUACAACUAACCAAUUAUUGUGACGCCAAAAUAAUAAACAUAUCUAAAACAUUGCCAAAAUAUUUUUUCUCUCGACCCGAAGAAAAAUCUAUCUUAAAAAAAAAAAGAAACCCAAAAUGACAAAAAACCAUGGUAUAAUAUCCCGACAUUUUAAAUAUUAAUUAACUCCCAAUCCACUUUUAUAAGCUCUCUCAAGCUCUUGCUCUCUCUCUCUCUCUCUCUGUAUGAUAGUAUGUUAUAACGAAUGUUCUUAUUUAUAGGUCGUAGGCGGGCCACCCCUGGAGUAGUCUACAGCCCCACCCCACAAGCCAAGAUGUGAGGCAGAAUAUGUAUAGAAGUGGUCAUACAGAUCACUACACUGACAUUGCCAAUUACAAUAACUAAACAUAGACAAAGCAUUACUUAUAAAGUUUUGAAUGUGUUGACCUCUAAUGAAAAGGCUGGUAAGAAAAUGCAUUGCAACCCUAUUUGAACUUCAAAAUUCUGAAUAAAAUAUAUUUUAAUCUUAACAAACGGUGCUUCGUAUUCCCGGAUUAUACAAUUUGGUGCUUUUUUCUGAAAUGUUCAAAUUGUUUAAGUUCUUUUAGAAUUAUCAAAGAGUUGAAAUUUGGACACUUGUUUCACGUAUUAAAGGUAUACAUAUAUCAUCUUUGCUCUCAAAGAUCUCUGAAAUUCAAAAGAAGGUCAUGUAUUAGACCUGUCUUCAUCUUUUCAGCAAGAAAUUCUCAGGCAAAUCAAGGUGUUUUUUUGUGUAAAUAUUUGUCGUGAAUAUUCUAUUGAAGCUAUGCUUCAUACUGCAUGUAUUUUUGAACUUUUUAUAUUGUGUAUAUCUUGACGUAUUUUGUUUUUACUAUGACAAGUAAUCAUGUAAAUUUUGUCCUAAGAUUUUAGAUUUUAGACGUAUAUACAGACUAAUAAAAACGUAAAAGUUUACUUCAAUAAAAUGUUUUCUUAAAAC
rnacentral:misc_RNA from 1 species